CCUACGGGGGGCAGCAGUGGGGAAUAUUGCGCAAUGGGCGAAAGCCUGACGCAGCGACGCCGCGUGAGGGAUGAAGGUCUUCGGAUCGUAAACCUCUGUCAGCAGGGAAGAACGGUCACUGUGCUAAUCAGCAGUGAAUUGACGCUACCUGCAAAGGAAGCACCGGCUAACUCCGUGCCAGCAGCCGCGGUAAUACGGAGGGUGCGAGCGUUAAUCGGAAUUACUGGGCGUAAAGCGCUCGUAGGCGGUAUGUCAAGUCAAGGGUGAAAUCCCCGCGCGCAACGUGGGAACUGCCUUUGAAACUGGCAAACUGGAGUGUGGGAGAGGAUAGUGGAAUUCCAGGUGUAGGAGUGAAAGCCGUAGAUAUCUGGAGGAACAUCAGUGGCGAAGGCGACUAUCUGGCACAUAACUGACGCUGAGGAGCGAAAGCGUGGGUAGCAAACAGGAUUAGAUACCCUAGUAGUC
rnacentral:rRNA from 1 species